UACGAAGGGGGCUAGCGUUGUUCGGAUUUACUGGGCGUAAAGCGCACGUAGGCGGAUCGAUCAGUCAGGGGUGAAAUCCCAGGGCUCAACCCUGGAACUGCCUUUGAUACUGUCGAUCUGGAGUAUGGAAGAGGUGAGUGGAAUUCCGAGUGUAGAGGUGAAAUUCGUAGAUAUUCGGAAGGAACACCAGUGGCGAAGGCGGCUCACUGGUCCAUUACUGACGCUGAGGUGCGAAAGCGUGGGGAGCAAACAGG
rnacentral:rRNA from 1 species